rnacentral:rRNA from 1 species
CCUACGGGAGGCUGCAGUGGGGAAUAUUGCACAAUGGGCGCAAGCCUGAUGCAGCCAUGCCGCGUGUGUGAAGAAGGCCUUCGGGUUGUAAAGCACUUUCAGCGGGGAGGAAGGCGUUAAGGUUAAUAACCUUGUCGAUUGACGUUACCCGCAGAAGAAGCACCGGCUAACUCCGUGCCAGCAGCCGCGGUAAUACGGAGGGUACAAGCGUUAAUCGGAAUUACUGGGCGUAAAGCGCACGCAGGCGGUCUGUCAAGUCGGAUGUGAAAUCCCCGGGCUCAACCUGGGAACUGCAUUCGAAACUGGCAGGCUAGAGUCUUGUAGAGGGGGGUAGAAUUCCAGGUGUAGCGGUGAAAUGCGUAGAGAUCUGGAGGAAUACCGGUGGCGAAGGCAGCCCCCUGGACAAAGACUGACGCUCAGGUGCGAAAGCGUGGGGAGCAAACAGGAUUAGAUACCCGGGUAGUC